rnacentral:rRNA from 1 species
UACGUAGGGCGCAAGCGUUGUCCGGAAUUAUUGGGCGUAAAGAGCUCGUAGGUGGUUUGUUACGUCUGCUGUGAAAACCUAGGGCUUAACCCUGGGCUUGCAGUGGAUACGGGCAGACUAGAGGUAGGUAGGGGAGAAUGGAAUUCCUGGUGUAGCGGUGAAAUGCGCAGAUAUCAGGAGGAACACCGGUGGCGAAGGCGGUUCUCUGGGCCUUACCUGACACUGAGGAGCGAAAGCGUGGGGAGCGAACAGG